GGGGAAUAUUGCGCAAUGGACGGAAGUCUGACGCAGCGACGCCGCGUGAGCGAAGAAGGCCUUCGGGUCGUAAAGCUCUGUUCUUGGGGACGAAUGAGAUGACGGUACCCAAGGAGAAAGCCCCGGCUAACUACGUGCCAGCAGCCGCGGUAACACGUAGGGGGCGAGCGUUGUCCGGAAUUACUGGGCGUAAAGGGCGUGUAGGCGGCCGAGCAAGUCGAGUGUGAAAAGCCCCGGCUUAACCGAGGCAUUGCACAUGAAACUGUUUGGCUUGAAUGCAGGAGAGGGAAGUGGAAUUCCUAGUGUAGCGGUGAAAUGCGUAGAUAUUAGGAGGAACACCAGUGGCGAAGGCGACUUCCUGGACUGUAACUGACGCUGAGGCGCGAAAGCGUGGGUAGCAAAC
rnacentral:rRNA from 1 species